GGAUUAGAUACCCUGGUAGUCCACGCUGUAAACGAUGAAAACUAGAUGAUGGUAGGCUUGACCUAUUAGUAUCGAAGCUAACGCGAUAAGUUUUCCGCCUGGGGAGUACGGCCGCAAGGUUAAAACUCAAAGGAAUUGACGGGGGCCCGCACAAGCGGUGGAGCAUGUGGUUUAAUUCGAUGCAACGCGAAAAACCUUACCUACUCUUGACAUCUACGGAAUCUUGUAGAGAUAUGAGAGUGCCGAAAGGAACCGUAAGACAGGUGCUGCAUGGCUGUCGUCAGCUCGUGCCG
rnacentral:rRNA from 1 species